CGCAAACAGAACAGAUAUCCGGUUUUUAUGGAUCGUAAACCGAGCCCUAAAGGUUCCUCCCCUUCCACAGAUCCAUCUGAGUUUCAGUGCGACUGUUUUUGGUCUGUUUGGAUCUUACAGCCUGGCUGACACUUUUGUCUGUGAUUGGCUGAGACACAUGUUCUCCCAGUUAUAGGCAUCUUUCUUGGUCUGUGAUUGGCUGGAAGGUGCAGCCAGUGGGAGCUCAGGGUUCAGUGCAGUCUGGAGAGACUCCGCCCCCAACUCACCUGGAGAGAGAAGAUCAAAGAGUCAGGAGCAGUUUAUGUCCAUUGGCUGCAAGGAUGCAUCACAGAGCACAGAGGUCAAAGGUCAACAAAGGUUAACAACCUGGACCACAGCGAAGGCUUCACCAGACUGCAUACACCUCCUGCUGAGGAUGAGCAGCAGAGCUCCCAGAGGAUCCAGGUUGGAGUCACCUGUCUUACUGGUCAAUCUGGUUCCCAGCUGCCUCCAGAAGGAACAGGCGUUCUGACUGAGACCCUGUAGAUGCUGGAGGGCGGGGCUUAG